UACGGAGGGGGCAAGCGUUGUUCGGAUUUACUGGGCGUAAAGGGCGCGUAGGCGGCGUGACAAGUCACUUGUGAAAUCUCCGGGCUUAACUCGGAACUGCCAAGUGAUACUGUCGUGCUAGAGUGCAGAAGGGGCAAUCGGAAUUCUUGGUGUAGCGGUGAAAUGCGUAGAUAUCAAGAGGAACACCAGAGGCGAAGGCGGAUUGCUGGGCUGACACUGACGCUGAGGCGCGAAAGCUAGGGUAGCAAACGGG
rnacentral:rRNA from 1 species